rnacentral:rRNA from 1 species
CACACUGCAAGUCGAGCGGUAACAGAGAGUAGCUUGCUACUUUGCUGACGAGCGGCGGACGGGUGAGUAAUGCUUGGGAAUAUGCCUUAUGGUGGGGGACAACAGUUGGAAACGACUGCUAAUACCGCAUAACGUCUACGGACCAAAGGGGGGGAUCUUCGGACCUCUCGCCAUUUGAUUAGCCCAAGUGAGAUUAGCUAGUUGGUAAGGUAAAGGCUUACCAAGGCGACGAUCUCUAGCUGGUUUGAGAGGAUGAUCAGCCACACUGGGACUGAGACACGGCCCAGACUCCUACGGGAGGCAGCAGUGGGGAAUAUUGCACAAUGGGCGAAAGCCUGAUGCAGCCAUGCCGCGUGUGUGAAGAAGGCCUUCGGGUUGUAAAGCACUUUCAGUUGUGAGGAAAGGGGUGUAGUUAAUAGCUGCAUCCUGUGACGUUAGCAACAGAAGAAGCACCGGCUAACUUCGUGCCAGCAGCCGCGGUAAC